GUCACGAUAGCUCAAGUGGUAGAGUAGCCGUUAGCUUCGUAUUUAGCUGAAGGUCGUGGGUUCGAAUCCCGCUCGUGACG